rfam:Schistosoma mattheei strain Denwood, Zambia genome assembly, scaffold: SMTD_scaffold0002051
AUUCAUCUGAUGAGCCUCAAAUAGAGCGAAACAAUCAUCCUGAAU